UACGUAGGGUGCAAGCGUUAAUCGGAAUUACUGGGCGUAAAGCGUGCGCAGGCGGCUAUGCAAGACAGAUGUGAAAUCCCCGGGCUCAACCUGGGAACUGCAUUUGUGACUGCGUAGCUAGGGUGCGGAAGAGGGAAGCGGAAUUUCCGGUGUAGCGGUGAAAUGCGUAGAUAUCGGAAGGAACACCAGUGGCGAAAGCGGCUUCCUGGUCCAGCACCGACGUCAGGCACGAAAGCGUGGGGAGCAAACAGG
rnacentral:rRNA from 1 species